rnacentral:rRNA from 1 species
UACGUAGGGGGCUAGCGUUGUCCGGAAUCAUUGGGCGUAAAGAGCGUGUAGGCGGCCCGGUAAGUCCGCUGUAAAAGUCAAAGGCUCAACCUUUGCAUGUCAGUGGAUACUGCCGGGCUAGAGUCCGGAAGAGGCGAGUGGAACUCCUGGUGUAGCGGUGGAAUGCGCAGAUAUCAGGAAGAACACCAACGGCGAAGGCAGCUCGCUGGGACGGUACUGACGCUGAGACGCGAAAGCGUGGGGAGCGAACAGG